rnacentral:rRNA from 2 species
ACACCCGAAGUCCGUGAGGUAACCGUAAGGAGCCAGCGGCCGAAGGUGGGAUUAGUGAUUGGGGUGAAGUCGUAACAAGGUAGCCGUAGGAGAACCUGCGGCUGGAUCACCUCCUUUCUAAGGAGA